GUUAAAAAGCUCGUAGUUGGAUUUCUGCGGGGGCGGGGCGGCCGACAACAACUCGUUGUUCGAGCUAGCACUUCCCCUGCAUCCUGCCGCGAACCGUGCUACCAUUAGUUUGGUGGCGCUGGGGAUCGGCUCGUUUACUUUGAGAAAAAUAGAGUGUUCAAAGCAGGCCACACGCCUUGAAUAAGUUAGCAUGGAAUAAUGAUAAAGGACUUCGGUUCUAUUUUGUUGGUGUUCGGGACUGAAGUAAUGAUUGAUAGGGACAGUUGGGGCGGUCCGUUUUCCAAAGCGAAAGGUGAAAUUCUUAGACCUUCGGAAGACGAACAGCUGCGAAAGCGUUCCGCAAGGAUGUUCCCUUUGAUCAAGAACGAAAGUUGGGGGAUCGAAGACGAUCAGAUACCGUCGUAGUCUCAACUAUAAACUAUACCAGCUAGGGAUCGGCCAACGUUUACUUACACCGACUUGGUCGGCACCUUAUGAGAAAUCAAAGCAUCUGGGUUCCGGGGGGAGUAUGGUCGCAAGGCUGAAACUUAAAGGAAUUGACGGAAGGGCACCACCAGCCGUGGAGCCUGCGGCUU
rnacentral:rRNA from 1 species